UAGGAACAUGACUGUUUUGUAAAGGGCCA
rnacentral:piRNA from 1 species